UAGCCGUAAACGAUACUCGCUAGGUGUCGGCCACGGUGCGACCGUUGUCGGUGCCGUAGGGAAGCCGUGAAGCGAGCCACCUGGGAAGUACGGCCGCAAGGCUGGAACUUAAAGGAAUUGGCGGGGGAGCACCACAACGGGUGGAGCUUGCGGUUUAAUUGGAUUCAACGCCGGAAAUCUUACCGGGACCGACAGCAACAUGAAGGCCAGGCUGAAGACUUCGCCGGAUUAGCUGAGAGGUGGUGCAUGGCGUAGUCGUGU
rnacentral:rRNA from 1 species